rnacentral:lncRNA from 1 species
GGCCAUGUCUAUUCUACGGCCCGGCUCUGCUCCUGGCCCAGGCGCCCGUGUCCGGUGCGGUCCCAUACGAGAUGGGUUCUCUGCCUUCGGUGCGUGUCGGCGCCUCUGCCAAGGCGGAGCGGACGGCGAAAGAAAGGCCGAAAGCCAUCGUGACGUCGAGGCACAAGCUCCACUGUCCUAACAGUAGAGGUCGCAUGGAGUUCGUGAGACGGGCAUUAGCUGCCGCUGGAGCUGUACCCAGCCCACCGUAUUUUCACAAAUUAGCCAGACAAUACGCCUUCUCUUCGCAUCACUACUGGUCCGGCUUCCUGUGGAGAUUUUCAGAUACAAGCAAACAAAACAUUGCAUAACUCUGUGUGCAGCCCUUACCCGGAUGUGUGCAGCUUUAGGGUGUGCUUGCAGGAGGAACAGGAUAUCCAAAUGACCUCCUUGGAAAACAAUGGUUAAGGAGCACUGGGACUCUGACAGGACCUGGGUUCUCUCCGACCCCUUUAUUCCCCAUGCCCACUGCCCCACAUGUGUGUACACAUGUGCUUCUGCUUGUGAGCACGCAGGAGUUCAUUGUAGAGGGCAUCUCCCUUACCUGUUGUCUCUCUUUGAUUUAAAAAAAAAAAAUCUAUUCUUACAAACCCCUAUAUAUACAUGUUGCCUGACUUAAAGUCAGGUCUGGGUUACUGCCAUCAGUCCCAAUGUUCACAGAAAUGGGAAACGAGAGGGGUGGACCAGUGGGGACAACCUGUAACUUGGACUUCUUAGAUCACUCCUGUCCCUCCCAAGACACCUAGGACUCAUCGGGUCUAAUUUAGUCUAGGAGGUGUGUUUCUAGAUGCAUCCCUGGAGUACAGUGAAUGCAAGCCAAGAAAUAAUUUUUUCUUCCCAAUUUCAUGGUCUCAUCCUGACCUACAGCAGAUAAGUAAGGAUGAUUCCAUUUCUGUAUUCUCUCGAGCCCAUCCCCCUCUCCCUGCCGUAGAGUCGGGAGUACCCUUUUUUUUUUUUCUUCUCAAGACAGGGUUUCUCUGUAUCACCCUGGCUGUCCUGGAACUCACUCUAAAGUACCCUCUUAAUUAACCAUGCUUAGAGAGGAAUAAAAGGACAAGACCAGAGUUUCAGCUACCUUGGAUUCUGCACCGACUCAGGAUCACAGUCAGUUUGUGUGAGGUCACCAGUUUAUACCAAACAGGUUUCAAGGGGCCACGGACAGAACUGUCUUGGUCAGAAUCAGCUGAGUCUUGCAGACAUGAUUCUACUCCAGACCGUUUUGUCUCUAGAAGAGAAACUUGCAAACAUUCUGCCUUCCUUUUCUUUUCUUUGGGAAAGUAAAUGCUGUGUUAGAAGUUUGGACCAGAAUUCUCGGACUUCACCAUCUAUGGAUGCUUCGCUUUUGAUGUGUUUGCCUGUUUAUAAUCUAUUUUAUUUAUUUUGGAAGAUUUUCAUUAAUAAAAAGUAAUGAAGACAUA